GCCGUGGUAGUCUAGCCAGGUAAGGCGGCAGCCUUGAAAGCUGCUGGGACUUCGUCCCUCGCCCGUUCAAAUCGGGCCCACGGCG
rnacentral:tRNA from 1 species